UUGAGUCCUACACCCUGGAUCAUUCAGCCAGGCUUAAUCAGCCAACUAUACUCUAAUAUGAACACUACUUCUGCUAUAUGCCAGUCUUUGGGAACCAUGCUUGAUGUAUCUUCCGGACCAUGUGAUCUCCAACAUGAAUAGUGAAUACCAGCUGAAGACAUUGUCAGCCCAGAGGGGAUCGAUUUCUUCAGCGGUUCCCCAUUGCAGAGAAACCACCAUAUAGAUAUGAGCCCCUGAUGAAGUCGUUUGGAUGAAAUGCGUUGGGUAUAGCUCGGAUUUGAGAACAUCAGACAUUCAUUAACCAAAGAAACUUCAUUGGAUCAACAAACUGUCUAUAUUUUAUUAUUCAUACAUUGGAUGUAUUGUAUGUUAAUGUGGAUGUGUUAACCAUUGGACAUUGAAGCAGCAAUUGUACCAAUUGAGAUAUAUUGUUUUGUGCUUAGAUGCAAAUAAA